GCAUAUAAACAGCUAGUAAUGCAUUUCCUUUCCCAAUUUCCUUUUGUUAUCCUUACCACUUUACCAGCUGGCAGAGAGCCUUCCUUUUCCGAUUCUCUAUUUCCUUUCCUCAUUCCCAAUCUCCGAUCCAUCCCUAAAAACAACUGACGAGAGAUCGAUGAUGAUGAAGAUGCCUUGGAGGAGGAAGAGCAGGAGCUUCCAUCUUCAGCUAUUCUUAUUUACCAAUUAUUGUCAUUCUUCUACUUCCACACUUGAAGAUGCACGCUUCUUGACAAAUAACUUCAAAUCUGCUUCUUUUACCCGCCUUGAUGAUGCCAUUGCUUCCUUCAAUCAUGUAAUUCAUAAGCAUCCUCUGCCUUCUAGGGUUCCAUUUAAUAGAUUUUUAUCUGCCCUUGUGAAAAUGAAACAAUAUCACACUGUCCUUUCCAUGUCCAAAACAAUUGAAUUGGUAGGGAUCUCUCACGAUGUUUAUUCUCUAAGCAUCUUAAUUAAUUGCUUCUGCCAUUUACACCUUGUGGAUUGUGGCUUCUCUGUUUUUGGUAAGAUGCUUAAAUUCGGAUUGGAGCCUACCACUGUGACAUUUAAUACCUUAAUUAAUGGGCUUUGUAUAGAGAGUAAAAUCGACAAAGCAGUGGAAUUUUUCGAUGAUAUGGUUGCACGUGGUUAUCAACCUAAUGUUUAUACUUACAGUGUGAUAGUAAACGGAAUGUGUAAAUUUGGGAAAACAAACGUGGCUAUUGGGCUACUAAAGGGAAUGGCUGAUAGAGGUUGUGAGCCAGAUGUUGUGACAUACAAUGCAAUCAUUGACGCCCUUUGCAAAGACGAGCUAGUUGGUGAGGCUUUAGACUCUUCUUUCAAAUGAGGAAUAAGGGCAUUUCACCUAAUGUCAUCACUUACAAGCUUCAUAUUCGCUUAGAGUUCGCUCCAAGAAAUAUAGCCAUCCCUACCCCCUCACGUCAAUAAGUUUAAUUCAUGGUGUUUGCAAAUUAGGCCAAAAGAACCAAGCUUUGGCCUUGAUGAAUGAAAUGGUGGAGCAAAACAUAUUACCAAAUGUUUAUACCUUCAGUGUAUUGAUUGAUGCUCUUUGUAAGGAUGGAAUGGUUUCAGAGGCUCAAAAUACAUUCAAUGUAAUGAUUCAAAGAGGUGUAGAGCCUGAUGUGGUCACCUACAAUUCCUUAAUUGAUGGUCUUUGCAUUUCAGACCAAUUCAAGGAAGCUUUGGCUUUGUUGAAAGAAAUGGUGGGGAGGAACAUAUCCCCUGAUGUUUUUACCUUCAAUAUAUUGAUCGACACUCUUUGUAAGAAAGGACUGGUUUCAAAUGCACAGAAUAUAAUCAAGAUAAUGAUUCAAAGAGGUGUGGAACCUGAUGUUGUCAAUUAUAAUUCAUUGAUGGAUGGAUAUUGUCUGUGCAAGCAAAUUGAUAAGGCUAGAAAGCUAUUUGAUCUGAUGGUGACCAAUGAAAUAGCUGACUUUUUUAGCUACAGCAUUUUGGUCAAUGGAUAUUGUAAGUGCAAAAUGAUAGAUGAUGCAAUGGAACUUUUUGGUGAAAUGUCUCAUAAAGGUUUAGUUCCUGAUGCUGUUACUUAUUGUACUCUUUUAAAGGGUAUGUUUCAAGCAGGGAGGCCCCAAAAUGCAAAAGAGCUCUUUAAGGAUAUGUGCUCUCAUGGUCAACAGCCAAAUAUAGUAACUUUCUCAAUUAUGAUUGAUGGCUUGUGUAGACAGGGGAAUCUCGAUGAGGCACUCACACUAUUGAAAGCAAUGGAGAAAAGUCAGUUGAAGCCUAAUCUUGUGAUCUAUAGCAGUCUGAUCAAUGGUAUGUGCAAAGUUGGGAAGAUUAAUGAUGCCAAGGAACUUUUUUCUAGUCUUUUUGAAAUUGGUUUACAACCUGAUGUUUAUGUAUACAGUGCAAUUAUGAAAGGACUCUGCCAACAAGGAUUCAUGGAUGAAGCGUAUAAGGUAUUUAAAGACAUGGAAAAGGUAGGAUGUUUACCAAAUAAUUGUUGUUAUAAUAUCAUCAUUCAAGGGUUUCUCAAGCAUGAGGAUUUACCAAAAGCAUCAGAACUAAUCAACGAAAUGGUUGAUAAGGGGUUCUCUGCUGAUGCUACUACCACAGAAUUGGUAGUACGUUUAUCGCAGAAUAAUGAUCUCAUUCUAAGCAAACUACGAAGUCGUUCUGAGGCUUCUAAAGGGGUGCAAUGAGGGAUCAGCAAACUAAAGUUGUUAUAUCUUGACCGUUCAAUGGUGUCUUGGAGAGAAACUUGGUAAUUACCUUCUUCAAAUGUAGUAGAUAUGUAAUUUAACUAACUUCAAAUUUCAUGUUUAAUUUCAAUCAGCUGUGAUUCUCUUCCACAAAACAAAAAUUUCUAACACUGUACCUGCAGUGGAAACCAUGAUAUGUGUGUGCCUUUCUCUUGAACUCAGACAUGGACUAGACCUCUUUGGAUAUAAGCUUGUUGAUGAAUGGAGGUCAUAGAUUUCUAAUGUUCAAGUUGCUGGUAAACCCACCAUCUUCCUUACAAUUUUUUUUUGGGCUGCUACUACAGCCUUAACUCGAGAGCUUAGUCCUAAAAAUGAGUUGAGAACUAAAACUAAUUGAUUCCAUGCUAUAAUGCUUAAGAAUCUUUAUCUAUUUUACUUUUGUACUCAAUGACCUUUUAAGAUGCUAUCAUUUUUCAGUAAACAUGCUGCAUUAGGACAAUAACUUGGAGAUUUUAUCAUAUAUUUUGAUUUUUACUUGGAAGAAUGCAGGUGUUAAAUCAGUGAACUAGCAGGUGUUAACACCUGCUUUCUGUAUCAUUUUACCAUAGCUACUCGUGCCUGUUUCCGUCCAUUAGAAUUUAACUCCUACUAGUUUAUCAUAUACAUGCAUUACAUGUAAUAAAUUUAUGCUCCCAAAAUGAUUUCUAUUUAUUGCUAGUUUAUUACUUGUAGUAAGUUUAUGCUCAAAAUAAUUAUAUUUAUUUCUCCUUGAGUUAAUACUUAUAACUUGAACUAGAGUUAAUACUUACUCCUUGAGUGCAAGUUUUAACACCUACUUGUUGAGUUUAAGUAUUAAUUUGAGUUUUUGCAACAGGUACAUUUGAGCUUGAGCAUGGUGCAGUAUCUCUUCCACCAGUCCACCGGUCUUUUCCCGCAUGCCUGAGAUGAAGAUGGAUUAGAUGAGCAAAUCGAGGAUUUUUGUUGAUUACUUGUUGUACAAUUUUUGGGUUACUAUUUGUUUUGGCAUUUACUACAAAAAUAUACUUUUAAUUAUACAUUUUUUGUGGUUGUACUAGAUUAUUUAUGUUCAAUUUUAAGUUCAAAAGACUUUUUUUUUAUUAUAAUUGAAUACAUUAGAUUUGUGGUUGAUUUGUGUUAUAUUAUGCAUUUAAUAGUUUGGGUUUGUGAUAUUUGUAAUUAUUUUGGAUUGGUUAAAUAAAAAUUUCAAACGAAAAUGCAAUUGAAAAUCUGGUUCAAAUUUCGUAAAGGGUGUAAAGAAGCAACAUCGAGUCACUUUGCUUUGUAGAUGAUUUGUUUUUGUUUUGUCAUGGGGCUAGGAAUUUGGUCUGUGGGCUGGAGAGGCCUUGAAGUUGAGGAGGUUUUAGGAUGGCAAGUAAAUGAGUCUAAGAGCUGUGUUUAUCUUGCAAGAGUGCUAGAGGAGAUGAAGCAGCAAAUUCUACAAUUCCUCAAUUUCAGGGAGGGAUUUCUUCCUGUUAUCUAUUUGGGAUUACCUCUGGUAUCUACUAGUAUUAAAAAAGAGCAUUGUCAGAAGCUUAUUAGUAUAAUAACUAGUAGAAUUGACUCAUGGUAUGCUAAAUAAUUAUCCUAAGCUGGUAGGGUACAUGGUGAGGAAUAAGUUGAAAAGCCUCAGUUUUUGGGGAUCUCUAAACCUAGUAAUGCUAGUUGAUCUUGAAAGAAUCUGGUGAAAAUUAGAGAUUGUUUUAGAAAGCAUUAUGCAUAUAAGUUGGGAAGAGGGGUUUUUCAUUUUGGUAUGACCCUUGCAUGGGUGGGAAAAGUCUUGUUGAGAGGUCUCUGAGUUGAAUAUGGGAUAUUCUGACAUCAUAGGCAUACUAAGGUGAGGGAGGUUUGGAGGGAUGGUAUGUGGAGGCUUCCUAAUCCAUUGGAUUCCACUAUGGAAGGAGCCUGGGAAGAGGUUCGAAAAUAUUAUGUAAGCAGUGAAUGGGCAGAUUCUAUUAAAUGGAAACUCAUAGACUUACACUGUUAAUAGUGCUUGGAAAGUCCUAAGAAGGAAGGGUGGAGUGGUUAAUUGGUGGAAGGUGGUUUGGGGUGAGCGUAUUCCCAGGCACAGUUUUAUAACCUGGUUAGCUAUCCAUAAUAGACUUGUUGUCAAAUCGAGUCUACUUAGAUGAGGAAUGGUAAAUAAUUCGUGGUUUUGCUUCUGAUUACUUAAUAUUAAUUAGAUUAAUAAUAACUAAUAGAUAAAAAUAUCUGAAGGAAAGAAACAUUUAUAAAGAUAAGUGUGUAAGAUCUAUAUGAUUACUUAAUAUUAAUUAGAUUAAUGAUUUCCGAUCGAAAAAGGUGAAGCAAGUGAAAAAACUUAUGUAAAUCUUUAUCUAUUUUUAUUUUUGUGUUCAAUGACCUUUUAAAAUGCUAUCAUUUCUCUUGUAGGUACUUGAAAGGAUAUGAUUAAUUAUUAUAUUUUUAAUAAUAAUGAUUAUAAAUGCAAGAUGUAGGAUAUACAAUCAUAGAGUACAAAGACUACAUUAGACUACAUUAUAAAUGCAAGAUGCAGGAUAUACAAUCGUAGAGUACAUUAUAAAUGCAAGAUGCAGGAUAUGAUUAAUUUAACAAUUAGACUACAUUAUAAAUGCAAGAUGCAGGAUAUACAAUCGUAGAGUACAUUAUAAAUGCAAGAUGCAGGAUAUGAUUAAUUUAACAAUUAGACUACAUUAUAAAUGCAAGAUGCAGGAUAUGAUUAAUUUAACAAUUAGACUACAUUAUAAAUGCAAGAUGCAGGAUAUACAAUCGUAGAGUACAAAGACUACAUUAAUACCUUAAUUAAUGGGCUUUGUAUGGACAGUAAAAUCGAUAAAGCAGUGGAAUGUUUCGAUGAUAUGGUUGCACAUGGUUAUCAACCUGAUGUUCGUACUUACAGUGUGAUAAUAAACGGAUUGUGUAAAUUUGGGAAAACAAAUGUGGCUAUUGGGCUACUAAAGGGAAUGGCUGAUAGAGGUUGUGAGCCAAAUGUUGUGACAUACAGUGCAAUCAUUAACGCCCUUUGCAAGGAUGAGCUAGUUGGUGAGGCUUUAGAGCUCUUCUCUCAAAUGAGGAAUAAGGGCAUUUCACCUGAUGUCAUCACUUACAAUAGUUUAAUUCACGGUGUUUGCAAAUUAGGUCAAAAGAACCAAGCUUUGGCCUUGAUGAAUGAAAUGGUGGAGCAAAACAUAUUACCAGAUGUUUAUACCUUCAGUGUAUUGAUUGACGCUCUUUGUAAGGAUGGAAUGGUUGCAGAGGCUCAAAAUACAUUCAAUGUAAUGAUUCAAAGAGGUGUGGAACCUGAUGUUGUCACUUAUAAUUCAUUGAUGGAUGGAUAUUGUCUGUGCAAGCAAAUUGAUAAGGCUAGAAAGGUAUUUGAUCUGAUGGUGACCAAUGAAAUAGCUGACAUUUUUAGCUACAGCAUUUUGAUCAACGAAUAUUGUAAGUGCAAAAUGAUAGAUGAUGCAAAGAAAUUUUUUGAUGAAAUGUCUUAUAAAGGUUUAGUUCCUAAUGUUGUUACUUAUCAUACUCUUAUAAAGGGUAUGUUUCAAGCAGGGAGGCCCCAAAAUGUAAAAGAGCUCUUUAAGGAUAUGUGCUCUCAUGGUCAACAGCCAGAUAUAGUAACCUUCUCAAUUAUGAUUGAUGGCUUGUGUAGACAAGGGAAUCUUAAUGAAGCACUCACACUAUUGAAAGCAAUGGAGAAAAGUCAAUUGAAGCCUAAUUUUGUGAUCUAUAGCAGUCUGAUCAAUGGUAUGUGCAAAGUUGGAAAGAUUAAUGAUGCCAAGGCACUGUUUUCUAGUCUUUUUGAAAUUGGUUUACAGCCUGAUGUUUGUGUAUAUAAUGCAAUUAUGAAAGGACUCUGCCAACAAGGAUUAAUGGAUGAAGCUUAUAAGUUAUUUAAAGACAUGGAAAAGGUAGGAUGUUUACCAAAUAAUUGUUGUUAUAAUAUCAUCGUUCAAGGGUUUCUCAAGUAUGAGGAUUUACCAAAAGCAUCAGAACUAAUCAACGAAAUGGUUGAUAAGGGGUUCUCUACUGAUGAUGCUACCACAGAAUUGGUAGUACAUUUAUCGCAGAAUAAUAAUCUCAUUCUGAGGCUUUUAAAGGUGCGCAAUGAGGGAUCAUCAAACUAAAGUUGUUAUAUCUUGACCAUUCAAGUGUAUCUUGGAGCGCAACUUGGUGAUUACCUUUUUCAAAUAUAAUAGAUAUGUAAUUUAACUAACUUCUUCAAAUAUCAUUUUUAAUUUCAAUCAGCUGUGUUUCUCUUCAACAAAACGAAGUGGUGGAAACCAUGUUAUGUGUGUGCCUUUCGCUUGAAUUCAGACAUGGACUAGAUCCCUUUGAUAUAAGAUUGUUGAUGAAUGGAGGUCAUGGAUUUCUAAUCAUCAAGUUGCUGGUAAACCCACCAUCUCCAUCACAAUUUUUGGUUUAUUGGGGUUUGAUCCUUGAUGAAAUUUCUAUUCCUCUAGGUUGUUUAGAUGUAUAUAAUCUUGUAUUAAAUACUUCCAUUGAUUAAUUCAGUUGAGAUGCUUGUGUUUGGAUGUUACAUAGUUUCAACCAAUUCUUAUGACCUCCUCAAUUUUACUUGUAAGAGCUGCUAGGAGUUUUAUUUUCUUGAAAAUUGAUUAAAUCCUCAAGACCUCUAAGUUGGUAUACAGAUGGAAAGUUGGCAACACUCUUAAGAAGCUCCGGGAUCGCAAGCUUUAUUAUCCUUUCUUUCAAGGUUCAUCCCCUCAGAAUCCCACCGAAAUUACUUAGCAUUUUGUCUUUUCAAAUUAGUUGUUUCUUUUUAAUUUACUAAAAAUUGUUUCUUCUCUGCAAUCUGCAUUUUAUAUGUGUUUUUAGCUAUUUACUAAGAACUGGAUAUAUGUAGAAGUUUAACCAAGUUUCAGUAAUUCAGUUUUAACUGUUUAUGUUAAUAGCUUUCAUUAAUAGCAUUAGUUUGUUAGAUUUCUAUUAUAAGUUUGUUAACUGUGAAGUUAGUUAGCUUUUAGUAAGAAGCUAAAUUAAUUUUCCCGCCAAUGUUAGAUGAUGCGCCGCUCAAUUCUUUUCUUGUAUAAAUACCUCACUUAUAAAUCUUCUCAUUAAUGAAUGGAAUAUAGAAUUUUUCUCUUAAUGUGAUAUCAAAGCAACUAAGACUCGUGAUCCAGAACUUUUUUUAUUGGCAGUUAUUUUUCUUCUUUUUUCUUCUUAAAUUUCUCUACAAUUUCCUUGAUCUUCUUCAUUUUUUAUCAUUUUUCAUACUGAUCCUACGAAGAUAACUACUAAUCAUACUGUUGAAGUUGUUGAAUCAUCUAAUACAGAUUUAAUUACAUCUAAAUCUAAGAUAGACACAGUUAUUUUUCUUCUUUCUUCUUUCUAAAUUUCUCUGCAAUUUUCUUGAUCUUUUUCAUUUUUCAUCAUUUUUCAUACUGAUUCUACGAAGAUGACUACUAAUCCUACUGCUCAAGUUGUUGAAUCAUACAGAUCUAAUUUCGUCUAAAUCUAAGAUAGACACAGUUAUUUUUCUUCUUUCUUCUUCCUAAAUUUCUCUGCAAUUUCCUUGAUCUUCUCCAUUUUUCAUCAUUUUUCAUAUUGAUCCCACGAAUAUGACUACUAAUCCUACUGCUCAAGUUGUUGAAUCAUCUAAUACAGAUCUAAUUACAUCUAAAUCUAAGAUUGACUUGUUGAAUUCUGAUUCCCCAAGCCAGAUUCUAGUAAGUACUCCUUUGACUGAAUUCAAUUACCUCUCUUGGAAUAGAUCUAUGAUAAUUGUUUUGACUGCAAAACAUAAAAUAGGAUUCAUAGAUGGAACAUGUAAGAAUUUACUUUUUCAUCGUCCACUAUGAAAAUUUAUUAAAAUGCAAAUAGAAUUUACAAAUAGGUAUAAAUUCAUUUAUAAAUGUUAUUUCACAAAAUCCACAUUAAUGAGUUUGUAAUGGUUUAAUAAAUAGAUUAAAUGGUCCAUGCCGUUAAUAUGUUAAUUGAAUAGUUAGCGGUACAAAAUUACCUGAGAGUUAAUAUAAUAAAAAACUCUAAUACCCAAAAUAGUUAUGGCACUUGGAGAGAGAAAUAAGAGCAUUUCCCUCUAUUAACUUUGUCCAUAUAAAACACAUCAUUAUCUGUCCAAAGAGAGUGGGGUAGAGCAAUGAGAGAAAACAUCCAUUUAUUUGACAGUUUUAAAUUUGGUUGCACAAAAAUAGAAUGGAGCUUUUGGAAUUAGAGGAACGCUUGUAUUUUGGAGGGCAAACUCAAAGCGGCAAUACGGUAAUUAAUCUAGCUUUGAGAAGGAGAUAUCUCAACGUCAAUUAGACAUUAUAUGAGUCCUACCAGAGAUUUUUAUAUUUUACUUCUGAUUAGAUUGUGAAGAAGAAGAUUCAUAUAUCACGUAGACAACUAGUUAUAGGGUUUUGCUAUCACUUUUCUCGUACUAAAUUAAAUAUAAAAGAAAAUUUUUUGUUAAUAAUCACAAAUGUUUUCUCUAUGCUAUAAAAUCCGAGUAUCAUAUAAUAUAUCGUCAAGGAACAUGCUACUUUAACUAUUCAAGCGGAGUGGAGAGCGAAAUGCUAGGAAAAGCUAUAGUGAAGGAAGUACAUGUCCAUAAAGACAUACAAUUCUCCAUAUUCAGUUUAGUAUUCUAGUUAUAAAUGUGACAAAUUGAAAAGAUUUAAUUUUAUUAUCUAAAAUUUAAAAUUUUGAAUAUAAAUAUUUGAAUUAUUUAUCAUUCUGCAAACCAUUCUGCUUUCAUUUAAUUUUACAAAUAGAUUUUAUAUCCGUUUAUAAAUCCAAACAUAUCCAUUUAAUUUUAUCAGCAGAUUGCUUAUCUUUUUGCGAAUUAGUUUGUAUCUAUUUAAUUUUAUAAACGGAUUAAAAUAUGUUUGCAAAUCCAUUUGUAUCAAUUUAAUUUUACAAAUUAUACAUUCCUUUGUGAAUAUUUUAUAUCCAUUUAAUUUUAUAAAUAUAUUCUAUAUUAAUUUGUAUCCAUUUAAUUUUAUAAACGGAUUAUAUAGUCAUUUGCGAAUUAAUUUAUAUUUAUUUAAUUUUAUAAACAGAUUAUGCGUCCGUCUGCAAAUCAUUGUGUUCAUUUAAUUUUAUGAAUGGAUUACAUGUCUAUUUGUGAAUAAGUUUGUAUCGAUUUAAUUUUACAAAUAGAUUAUGUAUCCGUUCGAAAAUCAGUUUGUUUCCUUUAAUUUUAUAAACGGAUCAAACAUUUUUUUAUGAACCAAUUUGUAUCCAUUUAAUUUUACAAAUUGAUUAUAUGUCCCUUAGCAAAUAUAUUAGUGUCUAUUUAAUUUACAAACAAAUUAUAUAUCUAUUUAUAAAUUAAUUUGUAUUUAUUUAAUUUUAAAACGGAGUGUACAUCUAUUUACAAAUCCAUCCGUGUCAAUUUAUAAAAUUUUUACAAAUAAAUUAUACAUCCGUUUAUAAAUCAAUUUGUGAUGAGUUGUAAAACUUAUUAUUUUUUCAUAUUAAAUUCUAUAAUUUUGCUGUGAUUUUGAUGUAAAAAAUUGAUUUUUAUUUAAAAUUUGAUUUUAGACAGAUUUUGAGCUAAAAAUGAGAAAAAGAUCUAAAAGAAAUUGUUUUUAGAGUUUUUUUUUUUCCUGACUGCAAAGGUUCAGCCUUGCUCAAGGCUGUAACCCAAGCCAACAAACAGAUUCCAGGAUUACUACUGUUUCAAAUAGAUGCAAACAUAAUUAUAUCAAGAUUAGGAUAAAAGUCAUCAUAGGAGUAGUAGAUUUAUUUUACUUUUUUUUUAAUUAUGAAUAAUUAUUAUUUUUUAUUUGAAAAAAACCUAUAUAAAGGUUGCUCUAGAAGUAGAAUUUACCAUCUCUUCUCAUCAUCUCCUCUCUUUUUCGGUCCCUUCUUAGCUGAAUUCUUCCUCUUCUUCUUCUUUUAUUUUUUUGCAAUCUUAUUAUCACCUUUAGAGGCUAAACUAUUUUAUUCAGUUAAAAGUUAAUCAAAUUGAGAUGCAUUUAAAAUUGUGAGAUUAUGUUCUUAAUUUUUAUUUAUUUUAUUUUUAUUUUUAAUUAAUUUCUAUUUUUGAGAAAUAUCACCUCUAUAAUUGUCCUUUUAGAAUUAAAAGGGCUACAACGUAUUGUUAUUUAAUCCAAGUAAGUUAUAAUUGGGUUAAUACAAGUAGCAAUUAGCGUAUUCUUUAUGUUAAGUAAUUAAUUGAUUUGGUUUAAAUAAUUUCUUUGCUAUUAUUGACCAAAUUUGAGUUAUUCUCUUCUUACAGUAUUUUAAAUCUACACGCUUAAUCGGUGAGAUUCAUUUGUUUAAACACUAUAACCAAUAACAUCUUUUUAAUCAAUGAUGAACUGCAAACCUUUUAAUUUUGAUUACCUUCAGCUGAAUUUUAAUUUGAUUAUUUGUUUCAUCAUUUUAAUUGCAUUAUUUUCUUCUUUAAGUUUUCUUUUUAAAUCAAUUUCUCCAAUAAUGAUUUUAUUCUUUUCUUUUUUGUUUUAAAAUAUUCUUUUAUCCUACUUAUCAUCUAAUUUAAAUGAAGUUAAGGUAUCUAUAGAUAACCCUAUCUGUAUUUUUUUUAAAUUAAGUAAAAGAAAAUUAGUUUUAAUUAAUGUAUUCUACGCCUGUUUGUAUCUAUUAAAUUUUACAAAUGGAUUUUGUACUUGUUUACCAAUUCAUUUGCGUCCAUUUAAUUUUACAAACAUAUUAUAUAUCCAUUUAUAAAUUAAAUUGUUUUUAUUUAAUUUUACAAAUGUAUCAUUCAAAUACAUUCAUGUCUAAUGCUAAUUAUGUGAAAAAAAAAUCAAUAUAUCAAUUCUAUAUUUAAUCUUUAUGUUAAUUUAUAUUUCAAUCAAAUUUAUUUAUUUUUUUUAAUUUCAAUUUAAUACUUGAUGAGUUGCAAAAUUCACUAUUUUUUCAUAUUAAAUUCCAUUUUGUUAUGAUUUUGAUAUAAGCAAUUGAUUUUUACUUAAUUUUGAUUUUGAACUAAAGUUUUGAGCUGAAAAUGAGAAAAUGAACAAAAAGAUAUUAUUCUAGAACUUUUUCUAAUAAUAAGGUACAAUUUUACCUAAAAUUAUGACCUAACUUUGAUGGACAAAUUGUAAUAUUUUUUGUUUGCAAACUGUAGAGAGUUCAAAACUAUUUUCAGAUGCAAAUACAAUCAGAUCAAAAUUAAGAUAAGAAUUAUCAUAAGAGUAGUAGGUUAUUUUACUUUUUCUUUUAAAUGGUGAAUAAUUAUCUUUUUAUUUAAGAAAAUCCUAUAUAAAGGCUGGUUUAGAAGUAGAUCUCUCAUCUAUUCUUCUCUCCUCCACACCCUCUUUUCAGUUUCUCUUCAGCCGAGCGCUCCUUCCCCUUCUUUUAUUUUUUGCAAUUGUAUUAUAACCCUUAGAGGUUAAAGUUAUUUUACUUUUUCUUUUAAAAGGUUAAACUCCUUCAUUCAGUUAUUUUACUUUUUCUUUUAAAAGGUUAAACUCCUUCAUUCAGUUAUUUUACUUUUUCUUUUAAAAGGUGAAUAAUUAUCUUUUUAUUUAAGAAAAUCCUAUAUAAAGGCUGGUUUAGAAGUAGAUAUCUCAGCGCUCCUUCCCCUUCUUUUAUUUUUUGCAAUUUUGUUAUAAUCUUUAGAGCUAAACUCCUUUAUUCAAUUGAAGGUUAAUCAAGUUAGGUUUAAUUAAGUUGUGAGAUUUUAUUUUUAAUUUCUAUUCAUCUCAAUUUCUUUUUUCAAUUAAUUUAAUAAUACAACUUUCUUUAGAAAUUCAAGAGGUCUAUUAAAUCGAAUAAUAACAUAUUAUUAAUUAACCCAAAUAAAUAGGAAAUUAUUUAAUUGUGUUAAUACAAGUGUUAAUACAAGUAGCAAUUAAUAUAUUCUUUUAUGUUAAAAAAAAUAAUUGAUUUGAUUGAAAUAAUUCGCUUGCUAUCAUUGAUCAAAUUUGAGUUUUUUUCCUCUUAAAACUGUUAAUUAAUUAAAUCUAUACGCUUAUGAAAUUAUUAAUUAACUAGAAAUUAAUUUAAAUGUUAUAAAGAUUAAUUUAAUUUUAAAGAAUAAUAGGUGAAAUUUACUUAUUUAAGCAUUAUAACUAAAUGAUGAACAAUUGAGUAAAUAUUUUUUUAAAUUAAUGCAUUCGACGUGGGUCAAUAUAUUUUAAUUUUAAUUUUUAUUCCAUUUAUAUUCAUUUAAAUUAAUCAUUGAAUUUUAAAUUUUAUAAAUUCACCCUCUAAUUUAACCUUUAAUAUUUAUAAACUUAAACUUAUUAUUAAAAUUUUAUUUCAAUCUUUUCAAUUGUAAUUAAAUUUAUUUAUAAAUUAAAUUUUAAUUUAUAAACUUCCCAGAAACCAUAACCCAUCCCCGCUCUACACUGUUGUAAGGUACAGUUAUAAUAAUUUAAUAUUAUUAAAUAAUAUUUUUAUAUGAAAAAUUAAUAAAAAAAAUUACAAAAUGUGCUGCAUAUAAACAACUAGUAAUGCAUUUCCUUUCCCAAUUUCCUUUUGUUAUCCUUACCACUUUACCAGCUGGCAGAGAGCCUUCCUUUUCCGAUUCUCUUAUUUCCUCUCCUCAUUCCCAAUCUCCGAUCCAUCCCUAAAAACAACUGACGAGAGAUCGAUGAUGAUGAUGAUGAAGAUGCCUUGGAGGAGGAAGAGCAGGAGCUUCCAUCUUCAGCUACAAGGGGCAAUUGGUACCAUUCAAUCUCCAUUCCUAUUCUUAUUUACCAAUUAUUGCCAUUCCUCUACUUCCACACUUGAAGAUGCACGCUUCUUCACAAAUAACUUCAAAUCUGCUUCUUUUACCCACAUUGAUGAUGCCAUUGCUUCCUUUAAUCAUGUAAUUCAUAUGCAUCCUCUUCCUUCUAGGGCUCAAUUUAGUAGAUUCUUAUCUGCCCUUGUGAAAAUGAAACAAUAUCACACUGUCUUUUCCAUGUCCAAAACAAUUGAAUUGCUAGGAAUCUCACACGAUGUUUAUUCUCUUAGCAUCUUAAUUAAUUGCUUCUGCCACUUACACCUUGUGGAUUUGGGUUUCUCUGUUUUUGGUAAGAUGCUCAAAUUGGGAUUGGAGCCUGACGUUGUGACAUUUACUAC
rnacentral:lncRNA from 1 species